rnacentral:rRNA from 1 species
ACUCCUACGGGAGGCAGCAGUGGGAAUAUUGCACAAUGGGCGCAAGCCUGAUGCAGCAACGCCGCGUGAGGGACGACGGCCUUCGGGUUGUAAACCUCUUUUAGCAGGGAAGAAGCCUUCGGGUGACGGUACCUGCAGAAAAGCGCCGGCUAACUACGUGCCAGCAGCCGCGGUAAUACGUAGGGCGCAAGCGUUAUCCGGAAUUAUUGGGCGUAAAGAGCUCGUAGGCGGUCUGUCGCGUCUGCUGUGAAAACCCGAGGCUCAACCUCGGGCCUGCAGUGGGUACGGGCAGACUAGAGUGCGGUAGGGGAGAUUGGAAUUCCUGGUGUAGCGGUGGAAUGCGCAGAUAUCAGGAGGAACACCGAUGGCGAAGGCAGAUCUCUGGGCCGUAACUGACGCUGAGGAGCGAAAGGGUGGGGAGCAAACAGGCUUAGAUACCCCGUAGGCU